rnacentral:rRNA from 1 species
AGGAUUCCCCUAGUAACUGCGAGUGAAGCGGGAAAAGCUCAAAUUUAAAAUCUGGUGGUCUUAUGGCCGUCCGAGUUGUAAUUUAGAGAAGCGUCUUCCGCGCCAGACCCUGUGCACAAGUCUCCUGGGAUGGAGCGUCAUAGAGGGUGAGAAUCCCGUCUUUGGCAUAGGGGUUAACCUUGGCGCUUUUGUGAUGCGCUCUCAAAGAGUCGAGUUGUUUGGGAAUGCAGCUCAAAAUGGGUGGUGAACUCCAUCUAAAGCUAAAUAUUGGCGAGAGACCGAUAGCGAACAAGUACCGUGAGGGAAAGAUGAAAAGCACUUUGGAAAGAGAGUGAAACAGUACGUGAAAUUGUUGAAAGGGAAACGCUUGAAGUCAGUCGCGUCGACCGAGACUCAGCCUAGCCUUUGGCUUUGCGUACUUCUCGUCGUUGACGGGCCAACAUCGAUUUCGUCCCUUGGAUAAUGGCGAGUGAAAGGUGGCACCUUUACGGGUGUGUUAUAGUCUCUUGUCGCAUACAAGGGGUGGGAUUGAGGAAUUCAGCAUGCACACAUGUGUCGGGGUCUUUUGACCCACGUUCUUACGUGCUUAGGAUGUUGGCGUAAUGGCUUUAAACGACCCGUCUUGAAACACGGACCAAGGAGUCUAACAUGCCCGCGAGUGUUCGGGUGGAUAAAACCCGUGCGCGUAAUGAAAGUGAAAGUCGGGACCUUUGUCGUGAAGGGCACCGACGCCCGGACCAGACCUUCUGCGACGGAUCUGCGGUAGAGCGUGCAUGUUGGGACCCGAAAGAUGGUGAACUAUGCCUGAAUAGGGUGAAGCCAGAGGAAACUCUGGUGGAGGCUCGUAGCGAUUCUGACGUGCAAAUCGAUCGUCAAAUUUGGGUAUAGGGGCGAAAGACUAAUCGAACCAUCUAGUAGCUGGUUCCC